AACAUUGUGACACACACUGAUGUGGCUGC
rnacentral:piRNA from 1 species